CAAAAACAUGUCCUUUUGUUUUUAAUUUAAGGUCUGACCUGCCCACUGAUUAUUAAAAUUUAAUGGCCGCAGUAUUUUAACUGUGCAAAGGUAGCAUAAUCAUUAGUCUUUUAAUUGAAGGCUUGUAUGAAUGGUUGGACGAAACAUAAGCUGUAUCAUAUUAGAUUAUUUUUAGAAUUUUAUUUUUUAGUUAAAAAGCUAAGAUUUUUUUGAAAGACGAGAAGACCCUAUAGAUCUUUAUAAUUAUAUUAUUUAUUAAUAUUUAGUUUAUUUUAUUAUUAAUUAAUUUUAAUUAUUUUGUUGGGGUGACAUUAAAAUUUGUUUAACUUUUAAUAUUUUUAUUACAUUAAUUUAUGUUUUAUUGAUCCAUUAUUAUUGAUUAUAAAAUUAAGUUACCUUAGGGAUAACAGCGUAAUCUUCUUGGAGAGUUCUUAUCGAUAAGAAGGGUUGCGACCUCGAUGUUGGAUUAAAAUAAAUUUUGGGUGUAGCAGCUCAAAUGUUAAGUCUGUUCGACUUUUGAUUUUUUACA
rnacentral:rRNA from 1 species